GUAACUAAAUGUUCACCGUCGAUUGCAGCAGGAUAGAAGGUCUGGCAGAGAUGAACCAGUUUUGACGCCAAAACAGUUCCUCUAAUGGAAGUAAAAUGGUUCUUCCAUUUGAAAGACAGCCACUCUUGCACAAGAGAUACGCCGCUCUUUCUUCCCCUGAUUUGACGCGCUUCAACUCCGACAAACACGACGACUCGGGGAAGGGAGACGAAUAUGCGAAUUUUCUCAAGUCAUUGGCAAUUGGAGAAAGACAAGAUGUUGGGACAACUAGACCAAAACCAAAGCAAGGUCACUCGUCCCCAUCAAGCAAAGAUCCCAAGCAGGUUAAGAGAUCAGGGGGGAGUUCUGUGUCACCACAGAGAAGCGAGGGCCUGCUGCAUGUUACACUAACUGCUAAACACAAUGUGCAACAACACAAGAAGAAAAUGAGAGUGAUUGAGGAUCAUAUGCUGCAACAUAAACAAGAGGAGAGGGAACUGAAGCGAUAUGAAGGAGACAUUGUAAAGAAACAACACCACUUAAGAAGGACCAUGGCAGAAUAUGAAAACAGUAUUUAUAAAAAGAUGAGGGGUGAAGAAAGUAGACUCAGUGAGAACAACCAAGGCAUUGAGAAGGUUAAACAGCAACAUUAUAUCCAAGAAGACAAGGUUAACAAAGCGAGGAUAGAGAGAAACAUGUCUGGUCUUGUCAAGUUUAAAGACAAAGACAGGAAAGAUGUCUUAAACAUGGGCGAAGCUGAAUUUCAGUAUUGCAAGACUGCCAAGCAAUUGGACUUGACUCGAUCAGAGAUUUUUGCGCUAACACAGCAGUUUGAAGAGGACUUAAAAAGAAUAGAGGAGAAAGGAUAUGCAUUGAAGAAGAGUCUAGCUGACCUAGCUAUUGCUGCAAAUAAGAUAGCACUCAAAAAGAGAUCACAAGAAAUAGACGAUCAGCGAUAUUGGAAAGACACAAGUAUCAAAGAUAUUCAGGAUGACAGACGGCGCAAGCAAAGCUUGACAGAGAAACUCAAAGGGAUAUCAAACCAAGGACUUAAACAUGAAUACGGCAAGCGACGGUUGAGUAGAGACUUGAUGGUAUCUAAGGACAUGUUGUCUUUGAAGACAAGAGAAGAGGGCCGAAAAAUGACAGAUAUAAAUCGCAGGUUACAACACAAUUCAGUGAGCCAGAAGCAAGCUAAACAGGCGGCAGAGUAUCUUGAACUUGAUCGUCAAGGGAAGGAGAUUGAAGAGCGAGGACAGUUUGCCGAGGCUCGAAGAAACCAGCAGAUUGAGCAGCUGACUAAGGACAGGAAGCAUCAACAUGUCCAUCAAAUGGUGGAGUGGAAGAAGCGCUAUCUAGAAAAGCAAAAUGAAACCACUCGACGUGCGCACGAGGACAGUCUAAAGCAUUUACAGAAAGUUGUAAACAAGAUGGAGGAGACUGAGCAUGCGCUUUACAACCGUGUACGAGCCGCCGAAAUGCAGCGACGAAAGCAGGAACAAGAUGUACAGAGAAUCUUCAACGACCUGGAAUCACUGACGAAAGAAAACCAAAAACGAAUGAGGGAAACCCAAGAACAGUAUAAUCGAAAAAAAGUUGAUUUAGAACAGAAGCUUUUACGAGAGAAAGCUGAGCUGGCAAAGGCUCACCAUCAACGCGAAGAAAGCAUCCAGAGGCUGUUACAUCACAGAUCAAGGAUGAAUGGAGACAGAUACAUGCUGUCAGAGGAAGAACGGGAGCAUGACCGUCUAUCAAGGAUUGGCCAGAAAACAGAUCAUUUGGAACAAGAAGUUCAAUCUUGACCACCGUGAUAUGUGACGUCAUCUCCAGGCGCAAAAUUGUUCUGCGUGUGAACGUGUUUUUAUGGUGGUUGUUGUUUUUGUUGUUACUGUUGUUGUGUUUGUGAGUGUGAAACUUUUUACUCUUUCCUCUAGUUCUUUUAAGCCAAGCUGAAAAGCUUUCCAAAAUCAUUCAACGUAUCUUUCAUUUUCAGGAUAAUUUUAAUUUUUCGAUACGUCCUGGCUUGAAUGGUCAAUUCAAACCGAGUCAUUUACUUACUGAGUUGUAAAAUAACAGAAAAAAAGACAACGUCCUCUGUCAUAACCUCGUGGGACGUACCACCCUACCACCAAGCUCCAAGCUACAAUUCCCCCGUCCCACCCCCUAGAAAAGGUGUUAUCUCGCGCAUGUUGCGAGUAACGACCAACGAUCUUGCUGACAACUUAACAAAUGAUCUUUCAAGGAUCUGUUUACGAUAUACCCUGUAUUAAGUAGGUUUUGGGUGUUCACAAAUUGCCGAUAUCUUUUGUGGUUUUCAGUUUGAUGUCAGUUGUUCUGGACCUUAAUACCUUAGAUGUACGCAAUCCAGUUCAACGGACAACAAACUGGCAAUCUUCUUGCAAAUAUUUUCCGUCCUCUAUUUGUUUCUGCAAUUCGUCCUUGAACUUCAAUUUUGAGAUCACUAACGUAGACGAAUGCGAGAUAUUCCGGUGGCUUGAUUUAUAGAGCGGCAAAGCGUUUUUUUUUCUCAUGUACGAAGCAAGUAGAUUUUUCUACAAAGCAUCUUUUGGCAUUAUUUCUUAUAUCAAUGUACAAUUAGUAGCAUUGUUUUGCAAAAUCUGUUAGGUAGGUACUUGAUAAUUUAUUACUAUAUGAGACCUCCUUAUCCAUUUUUCCUUUUUCCUUGACUACGCUACACUGUUGCUACCGACUAUUUUAAGGUUUUCAUCUAAGCUUUUUACCCUACGUUAGUGUUAAGGUGUGUAUCCAAAUGGCCUAGGCAAAUAUCAACUUAAUAUAUCAUGGUCGCAUCAGGUAAGCUUGAAUUGCUAACGUAUAUAUCAUUGCACUUACUCAGGGAAAAUAUAUUUUCUGUUUCACUACCAGCCUACUGUAUAUACGCUUCAGGAGACGUAGAUUUCAACUAUUUAGAAAAUAUUUCAUAGCAUACACUUUAUCUCGCUAUGUUAUCGCAGAGUAAAAAAAAUUCAUUCGAGAACACAACUGUCUCAUUUAGUAUGUUGUUUCUAGAAUUUGUUUGCUUUUCCGUUGUUGUUGUUUUGUCUUUUGCUCUUGUCUUUUGUUUGUUUGUUUGUUUGUUUGUUUGCCUGCAUUGGCCACUUCUUGGACUUAGCAACCAAACUUUCUUUGAACUUUCGGGGAACUGAAUGUCACUUUAUAAGAUGACCUGUUUUCUUUGCCCGUCAUUACUUCUUUGUUCUAAUUUCCUUUCAUUUAGUCGUAAUCUACGUCCCCUUAGUCACGCUGCUGAAUGGAAUCAAUUCAGGGAAAUAAAGGGUAGAUUGAGGGUUUAAGACUCGGCCAAAUGAUCGCAAGAUUUUGAAUACAACAUAUCGCAACGUUGUUGGGCGCAACAUGUUACGCGCGUUGGGCCACCCUGUUGCGACGUGUUGUUUCACGUUGGGUAUUGAAAA
rnacentral:misc_RNA from 1 species